AACCUCCGCAAUGUGAGAAAUCGCGACGGGGGGAUCCCAAGUGCCAUUCUUAACGGGAUGGCUUUUCAUUAGUGUAAAGAGCUUUUGGAAUAAGGGCUGGGCAAGACCGGUGCCAGCCGCCGCGGUAACACCGGCAGCUCUAGUGGUAGCAGUUUUUAUUGGGCCUAAAGCGUCCGUAGCCGGUUUAAUAAGUCUCUGGUGAAAUCCUGUAGCUUAACUGUGGGAAUUGCUGGAGAUACUAUUAGACUUGAGACCGGGAGAGGUUAGAGGUACUCCCAGGGUAAAGGUGAAAUUCUGUAAUCCUGGGAGGACCGCCUGUUGCGAAGGCGUCUAACUGGAACGGUUCUGACGGUGAGGGACGAAAGUUAGGGGCGCGAACCGGAUUAGAUACCCGGGUAGUCCUAACUGUAAACGAUGCGGACUUGGUGUUGGGGUGGCUUUGAGCUGCUCCAGUGCCGAAGGGAAGCUGUUAAGUCCGCCGCCUGGGAAGUACGGUCGCAAGACUGAAACUUAAAGGAAUU
rnacentral:rRNA from 1 species